GAUGAACGCUGGCGGCGUGCUUAACACAUGCAAGUCGAACGGAAAGGCCCAAGCUUGCUUGGGUGCUCGAGUGGCGAACGGGUGAGUAACACGUGGGUGAUCUGCCCUGCACUUUGGGAUAAGCCUGGGAAACUGGGUCUAAUACCGGAUAGGACCAUCGUUUAGUGUCGGUGGUGGAAAGUUUUUCGGUGUGGGAUGAGCUCGCGGCCUAUCAGCUUGUUGGUGGGGUAAUGGCCUACCAAGGCGUCGACGGGUAGCCGGCCUGAGAGGGUGUACGGCCACAUUGGGACUGAGAUACGGCCCAGACUCCUACGGGAGGAAGCAGUGGGGAAUAUUGCACAAUGGGCGCAAGCCUGAUGCAGCGACGCCGCGUGGGGGAUGACGGCCUUCGGGUUGUAAACUCCUUUCGCCAAGGACGAAGCGUUUUGUGACGGUACUUGGAGAAGAAGCACCGGCUAACUACGUG
rnacentral:rRNA from 1 species